CGGCGGCGGGCGGCGGGAGUGCGGGCGCGCGCGCUCGCGUCAGUGCGGUAGCGGCGAUGGAGCGCGGGGCGCGGGCGCUGCUGGCGGCCGCCUGGAGGAGCCUGUGGGAGCGCGGGCCCUGCCAUGGCGGCAGCGCGGUACGGGCCGCCCGGUGCGGCGGGGACGGGAAGGGGCUGGCCGGCGGCAGAGCCGGGAGGAUCCAAGGCUCCAGGCCCUUCUGUGUGAGCGCAGCUGCCAGAGCCAUUUUGGGCAGGUGGGGAGGUGACAAGGGGAAGGAGAAGAUCACCUUGAAGGACGUGGCCGAGCUGCUCCGGAAGAAGGAGUGUCGGCGUGUGGUGGUGAUGGCCGGCGCCGGGAUCAGCACGCCCAGUGGCAUCCCGGACUUCAGGUCCCCUGGGAGCGGCCUGUACAGCAACCUGGAGCAGUACGACAUCCCCUACCCCGAGGCCAUCUUUGAGCUGGGGUAUUUCUUCGUCAACCCCAAGCCCUUCUUCACCCUGGCCAAGGAGCUCUAUCCCGGCAACUACCGCCCCAAUUCCGCCCACUAUUUCCUCCGGCUGCUGCACGACAAGGGGCUGCUCCUGCGCCUCUACACCCAGAACAUCGACGGGCUGGAGAGAGUGGCUGGGAUCCCUCCUGACAGGCUGGUGGAAGCCCAUGGCACCUUUGCCACUGCCACCUGUACGGUGUGUCAGAGGAACUUCCCCGGAGAGGACUUCAGGGGGAUCAGGGUCCCUGUGACAGGCAGUUUUGGGGUCUCUCCCUUCAGGGAGAUGUCAUGGGGGACAGGAUCCCUCGCUGCCCUGUGUGCACCGGAGUUGUCAAGCCUGACAUCGUGUUCUUUGGCGAGCAGCUCCCACAGCGCUUCCUCCUGCACCUCACAGACUUCCCCAUGGCAGACCUGCUCUUCGUCAUUGGGACAUCCCUGGAGGUCUGGCAGUGGAGCCCUUUGCCAGCCUGGCCGGGGCCGUGCGCAGCUCCGUGCCGCGGGUGCUCAUCAACCGGGAGCUGGUGGGCCCCUUCGCGUGGCAGCAGCGCCACAACGACGUGGCCCAGCUCGGGGACGUGGUCGGCGGUGUUGAGAAGCUGGUGGAGCUGCUGGGCUGGAACGAGGAGAUGCAAACGCUGAUCCAGAAGGAGAAAGAGAAGCUGGAUGCCAAGGACAAGUAGGAGGGUGCUUCUGUCACCCCUCAGCACAUCACUUGAGGACAUCCUGCCAUGAGUGUCACCAGCAAGUGUCCGAGGGCCUGGGGACUCGUGCCAGCACAUCCUACGAGCUCUGGGGCUGUAGUUGGCUGUUUGGAUCUUUCUCCUUUCAAGCCAUCCAUGCCACAGCCCCUCAGAGGCACUGGUUCCACGGAGCAGGAGCUGGAAUGCCAUGAAGGUCAGGGCAGGACAGCCUGGAGAGUGUUUUCCAACUCCCACUGGGCUGAGCAUCCAGUUCCUGUCACAGCUCCUCCCCAGCCACUGUUCCCUUGGCUGUGAUCCUCAGCUGCUGCAGGCUGUGUUUAGUCUUCCAUAAAAUCUCUGCUAAUCAGGGGACAAGCCAGGGCUGGGGGGGCUGCCCCCCAUUCCCAUUCCAGCUCAAGCUGCUGGGGAAAUUUUGAAUCACUGGAGUGUUAAUUAUUUAAUAAUAAAGAGACAAUUUGUUUCUGGAUGUCA